rnacentral:rRNA from 1 species
UUGAACGCUGGCGGCAGGCCUAACACCUGCAAGUCGAACGGUAACAGGAAGAAGCUUGCUUCUUUGCUGACGAGUGGCGGACGGGUGAGUAAUGUCUGGGAAACUGCCUGAUGGAGGGGGAUAACUACUGGAAACGGUAGCUAAUACCGCAUAACGUCGCAAGACCAAAGAGGGGGACCUUCGGGCCUCUUGCCAUCGGAUGUGCCCAGAUGGGAUUAGCUAGUAGGUGGGGUAACGGCUCACCUAGGCGACGAUCCCUAGCUGGUCUGAGAGGAUGACCAGCCACACUGGAACUGAGACACGGGCCAGACUCCUACGGGAGGCAGCAGUGGGGAAUAUUGAACAAUGGGCGCAAGCCUGAUGCAGCCAUGCCGCGUGUAUGAAGAAGGCCUUCGGGUUGUAAAGUACUUUCAGCGGGGAGGAAGGGAGUAAAGUUAAUACCUUUGCUCAUUGACGUUACCCGCAGAAGAAGCACCGGCUAACUCCGUG